rnacentral:misc_RNA from 1 species
UACGGAGGGUGCGAGCGUUAAUCGGAAUUACUGGGCGUAAAGCGCGUGUAGGCGGAUGGAGAAGUCGGGUGUGAAAGCCCUGGGCUCAACCCAGGAACUGCGCCCGAAACCGUCCAUCUAGAGUGCGGUAGGGGAGCGGGGAAUUCCCGGUGUAGAGGUGAAAUUCGUAGAUAUCGGGAGGAACACCAGUGGCGAAAGCGCCGCUCUGGGCCGUUACUGACGCUAAGACGCGAAAGCGUGGGUAGCAAACAGG